rnacentral:rRNA from 1 species
AGCAGCCGCGGUAAUUCCAGCUCCAAUAGCGUAUAUUAAAGUUGUUGCGGUUAAAAAGCUCGUAGUUGAAUUUCGGGAUUGACACAUCGGUCGUGCCUUAAGGGGUAUGAACUGGUGUAGUCAAUUUCUCACCUUCUGGAGAACCGCGAUGCCCUUAAUUGUGUGUCACGGGGAACCAGGACCUUUACUUUGAAAAAAUUAGAGUGUUUAAAGCAGGCAUUUUGCUUGAAUACAUUAGCAUGGAAUAAUAAAAUAGGACGGCAUGAUUCUAUUUUGUUGGUUUCUAGGAUCACCGUAAUGAUUAAUAGGGAUAGUUGGGGGCAUUAGUAUUCAAUUGUCAGAGGUGAAAUUCUUGGAUUUAUUGAAGACUAACUACUGCGAAAGCAUUUGCCAAGGAUGU